CAGCAUGUUUCCAAGGGCUUUGGCUGCUGGUGGCCACGGGUUCUCCAAGAGCAAAUGGAGGGACUGUGACAGCCCAGGUCACACCAUACCUGCAGCUGCCACUCGCAUUUCCUAUAAAC
rnacentral:snoRNA from 1 species